GAUGAAGAACGCAGCGAAAUGCGAUAAGUAGUGUGAAUUGCAGAAUUCAGUGAAUCAUCGAAUCUUUGAACGCACAUUGCGCCCCUUGGUAUUCCAUGGGGCAUGCCUGUUCGAGCGUCAUUUGUACCUUCAAGCUUUGCUUGGUGUUGGGUGUUUGUCUCGCCUCUGCGUGUAGACUCGCCUCAAAACAAUUGGCGGCCGGCGUAUUGAUUUCGGAGCGCAGUACAUCUCGCGCUUUGCACUCAUAACGACGACGUCCAAAAGUACAUUUUUACACUCUUGACCUCGGAUCAGGUAGGGAUACCCGCUGAACUUAAGCAUAUCAAUAAGCGGAGGA
rnacentral:misc_RNA from 1 species